UGGAAUCUUGUCCAUGCUCUUGAGAUUGUGCUGGGAGACACAGCGAACCUUCUUGCAACGGCACGUAUUGAUGUGCCAUCCUGGAGGAGUUGGACCACUUGUGCAGCCUCUGCAGCAACACCAGUGGCAUCAACCUGGAA